rnacentral:piRNA from 1 species
CUGAAUGCCUCCUAAUUUCUCUCAGG